GACGAACGCUGGCGGCGCGCCUAACACAUGCAAGUCGAACGAGCGAGAGAGAGUUUACUUUUUCGAGCGAGUGGCGAACGGGUGAGUAACGCGUGAGGAACCUGCCUCAAAGAGGGGGACAACAGUUGGAAACGACUGCUAAUACCGCAUAAGCCCACGACCCGGGCAUCGGGUAGAGGGAAAAGGAGCAAUCCGCUUUGAGAUGGCCUCGCGUCCGAUUAGCUAGUUGGUGAGGUAAUGGCCCACCAAGGCGACGAUCGGUAGCCGGACUGAGAGGUUGAACGGCCACAUUGGGACUGAGGCACGGCCCAGACUCCUACGGGAGGCAGCAGUGGGGAAUAUUGCACAAUGGGGGAAACCCUGAUGCAGCGACGCCGCGUGGAGGAAGAAGGUCUUCGGAUUGUAAACUCCUGUUGUUGAGGAAGAUAAUGACGGUACUCAACAAGGAAGUGACGGCUA
rnacentral:rRNA from 1 species